GCGGUCGUGCCCGAGCGGUUAAGGGGAUCGACUAGAAAUCGAUUAGGCAAUGCCUGCGCAGGUUCGAGUCCUGUCGACCGCG
rfam:Micromonas sp. RCC299 chromosome 16, complete sequence.